GCCGAAAUAGCUCAGUUGGGAGAGCGUUAGACUGAAGAUCUAAAGGUUCUGGUUCGAUCCCCGGUUUCGGCG
rnacentral:tRNA from 1 species